rnacentral:rRNA from 1 species
GUGGGGAAUCUUCCGCAAUGGACGAAAGUCUGACGGAGCAACGCCGCGUGAGUGAUGAAGGUCUUCGGAUUGUAAAGCUCUGUUAAUCGGGACGAAAGAGCCUAGUGUGAAUAAUGCUAGGAAGUGACGGUACCGGAAUAGAAAGCCACGGCUAACUACGUGCCAGCAGCCGCGGUAAUACGUAGGUGGCAAGCGUUGUCCGGAAUUAUUGGGCGUAAAGCGCGCGCAGGCGGAUCUGCCAGUCUGUCUUAAAAGUUCGGGGCUUAACCACGUGAUGGGAUGGAAACUACAGGUCUAGAGCAUCGGAGAGGAAAGUGGAAUUCCUAGUGUAGCGGUGAAAUGCGUAGAUAUUAGGAAGAACACCAGUGGCGAAGGCGACUUUCUGGACGCAAACUGACGCUGAGGCGCGAAAGCCAGGGGAGCGAACGGGAUUAGAUACCCCAGUAGUCC